rnacentral:rRNA from 1 species
CCUACGGGUGGCAGCAGUGAGGAAUAUUGGUCAAUGGACGAGAGUCUGAACCAGCCAAGUAGCGUGAAGGAUGACUGCCCUAUGGGUUGUAACCUUCUUUUAUAUGGGAAUAAAAUGUUCCACGUGUGGGAUUUUGUAUGUACCAUAUGAAUAAGGAUCGGCUAACUCCGGGCCAGCAGCCGCGGUAAUACGGAGGAUCCGGUCGUUAUCCGGAUUUAUUGGGUUUAAAGGGAGCGUAGGUGGUAUGUUAAGUCAGGUGUGAAAGUUUGCGGCUCAACCGUAAAAUUGCAGUUGAAACUGGCAGUCUGGAGUACAGUAGAGGUGGGCGGAAUUCGUGGUGUAGCGGUGAAAUGCUUAGAUAUCACGAAGAACUCCGAUUGCGAAGGCAGUUCACUGGACUACAACUGACACUGAGGCUCGAAAGUGUGGGUAUCAAACAGGAUUAGAUACCCGAGUAGUC